AAUGGGCGAAAGCCUGAUCCAGCAAUGCCGCGUGAGUGAUGAAGGCCUUAGGGUUGUAAAGCUCUUUUACCAGGGAUGAUAAUGACAGUACCUGGAGAAUAAGCUCCGGCUAACUCCGUGCCAGCAGCCGCGGUAAUACGGAGGGAGCUAGCGUUGUUCGGAAUUACUGGGCGUAAAGCGCACGUAGGCGGUUACUCAAGUCAGAGGUGAAAGCCCGGGGCUCAACCCCGGAACUGCCUUUGAAACUAGGUGACUAGAAUCUUGGAGAGGUCAGUGGAAUUCCGAGUGUAGAGGUGAAAUUCGUAGAUAUUCGGAAGAACACCAGUGGCGAAGGCGACUGACUGGACAAGUAUUGACGCUGAGGUGCGAAAGCGUGGGGAGCAAA
rnacentral:rRNA from 1 species